ACACUGCUGAGGAGUCCUACAAUAAGACGAAACGGACGUCCAGUGG
rfam:Schistosoma curassoni strain Dakar, Senegal genome assembly, scaffold: SCTD_scaffold0003859